rnacentral:rRNA from 1 species
CCUACGGGAGGCAGCAGUGGGGAAUAUUGGACAAUGGGGGCAACCCUGAUCCAGCCAUGCCGCGUGUGUGAAGAGGCCCUCGGGUUGUAAAGCACUUUCAGUGAGGAAGAACGCCUGGUGGUUAAUACCCAUCAGGAAAGACAUCACUCACAGAAGAAGCACCGGCUAACUCCGUGCCAGCAGCCGCGGUAAUACGGAGGGUGCGAGCGUUAAUCGGAAUUACUGGGCGUAAAGCGCGCGUAGGUGGCUUGAUAAGCCGGUUGUGAAAGCCCCGGGCUCAACCUGGGAACGGCAUCCGGAACUGUCAAGCUAGAGUGCAGGAGAGGAAGGUAGAAUUCCCGGUGUAGCGGUGAAAUGCGUAGAGAUCGGGAGGAAUACCAGUGGCGAAGGCGGCCUUCUGGACUGACACUGACACUGAGGUGCGAAAGCGUGGGUAGCAAACAGGAUUAGAUACCCUUGUAGUC